ACUUAAAAGCUCAAACUUCUUAAGCGACAUCGUUUGAAUGGGAAGAAGAGACGUCGUCGCAUCAGCAAUUGCCAAAAAUUUUCAACUCAAGGAUGGUGAAAUAACGAAGAUGCCCAUGAGUCCUAUAAGAGGGAGCAGAGGUUAGAAAAGCAACUUGAGAGAGAGAGCAGGAGAAGAAAGAAGAAUGGGCGGGAGGGGUUUUACCUAAAGGGAAUCUCAUUUCAGCCUAUUCUUGCCUCAAUACUCUUUUCUUCGUCCUCUACCCCUCUCCUUCCGUCCCCAGAAAAUGGACGGCUUAGAGGGUCCCACCUCUACCACCGCCAUCCCGGCCGUGGAUUCGAACCCACCGUCUCCUCGGCUCGAUCCAGAUUUCUCUCCCGUUGGAUCACCCGAGCACGACAUCCCUGAUGUUCCAGUUCCACCGUCAGAUGACGAUCAUGAUCACGACCA
rnacentral:lncRNA from 1 species